CUGUUGUUCUCUGUCCGCCAUGCACUUCUUCGAUCUUCCCACAAAUGUGGCCACUACUGCUUAGCAACCAGGGGAACAUGACAGCAGACAGCAAAAUCCUCUCCCCAUAGCUCACCCUGUUCCAUCUCCACAUCAUAAAGUAUCUUUCAUAGCCAAUUAAGAGGAAUGCAUGUUGUGUGGCCACAGAGAGACUGAGUGGGACCUCAGGGGUGGCAUGGGCUGAGCUGGGGUCUCUGCUAGGUGCAUGCAUGGAGAGCAAAUUCAACAAACUGAUGACUGAAAGACCCCGAUAUAUGUGGGUAUAACAGCUCCCCAAAGGCUUAUGGCAACUAAUAUUUGAAAAGAACAGGGAAAAGGAGGAGAAAAAAGGGAGAGAAGUGAAGGAAGAGAAAGAAAGAAGAAAAGAAAGAGCUGAAUAUCAAGGCGAUGGGGAACAGAAGAGCUUUAUGCCGCGGCAUAAAGCCCUCAGCACUCCAGCCGCCCAAACCGCCAAGACCGGAGGGGAGGGCCAAGAGCUCGCGAGCAGCACCAAGAGAGCAAAGUCCAGACGAAACCCCGCUAAGCAGCCGGGAAAGCAGCUACUCACUCACUUCUCCCAUGCCACAGCAGUCCUUGUUAAUGCCAGUCAUGAAAUACUGCUGUCUAAGGAGCUGCUUCACUGGUGCCUCUGCAGUAAGCCAAGAUCAGCAUCAUUCCCAAUGCUUACAAACAGGUGAGAAGCACAGUCGAAAACUGAGCAGACAGAAGAAAGCAGUCAAGUUCAGUCCUUGAUGCAGAGGAAAAGAGAUUCAUUUCUACAUGGCACUCAAUAGCAUCAUCUCCUUCUGACCAUGCUCUUGCACAUCCAGCAGCAAUAAAGGACAGACACUGGCUUCUUGCAGAACAGACUGCAUUUGUAGGAUUGAAAAAAAGAAGUAAAAUGGAAGACCAGAGCUGUUGCAGG
ensembl:lncRNA